rnacentral:lncRNA from 1 species
CGCCAACUUUCGACUCGUCUUAUCGAUGUCGUUGUCGUCGUUGGUUGUUUCUUCAAUCCUAAUCGUUUGCUGAUUGGUCCAAAUUUUGGCGGAUGCCUACAAAAUGGAAUCCAGUUGUAUUUGAAGUAUAUUGAGUAACUACAAAGUUUGUUCGUUUUAGUCGAGUUUAUGAGAAUAAUUGCGGUAUGAUGAUGGUAUUUUAUCUAAUGAGGAAGUUUUCUUUUUCAUCGACAAGAAGGAAUGAACUAAGAGGAGGAA